UGAAUAAAACCUAUAGUGUGCAUUUUCCCCUACCCACAUAUGCUCUCUCUGAAGGGACAGAGAAAAUUGAGAUUUCAGAGCGUUUUUUCCAUUUCUUAGUCUGUUUGACUAAAGGUGCCUCUGGCUCUGUGCAGUGAGGGCCGUCUCCCUCCCCCAGAUCAAUAUUUUAAUAUGACUUAUCAGAAAGAGAAUGAAUUGUUUACUUUCAAACCUCAGGAUCCCAUAAAGGGGGAGGGAAAGGUGUCCACUGGAAACAGAGGCUUUCAAGAGCUGACCGCUGCUGGGAACUCAUAAAAGAAACCCAAGACCUCCAAAGACCCGAACACAGUGCUAUUCAGCAAAGCGCCAUGCGAGAGAGUCCCAGUUCUGACAAGCCCUAGCGACACACCAGAGCAGCAUCAGGCAGUUGUGUUCGACGACAAGGUGUUCCUGCCGGAGUUCCCACCUGCCAGCCAAGCAGAGGAGGGCAGCCCAGAGAGCUCGGCAGGAGUGAAAGAGCAUGGGGCAACAAGGCAACGAACAAAAGGCAAAGACUCCGUUCUCUGCUUCCCUUAGAUGUGCCACAGAGCAAUCAUCUGAGCACCACGACAGAGCAAGGUUUUAAAACUUGUCCAGAUGGCUUUAACCUGAGGCACCUCACACUGUCCCUUGGCUUUGAUGAGCAGCCCCGGAACUGGGGUGUGUUACACCGUCCAGCACACUACUGACACGCAUGGCUACAGACAAACUGGAGAGACCUCUGGUGACCUGCACUUUGCUGUGAAUUCCAUUGAGAAGACCUCCAUUAACCAUGAAGGGAGCCCAGGAUGACAAGCCUAGAUGGUACAUCUGCACUGCAGUCAGAUGAGUUUCUGUCACUAGUGUCAGCUAGUCCCCAGCAGUUUCUCUCUUACUCAGCACCCACUGCUUACCAAUGCAAAGCACAACCCAGUCUGAAAUGGCUUUUAUCUUCCUCUGCACUGAUGGGACUCUUACACACAGUCUUCCUCUGCACAGAAGGAGUAGAAAAGCUGAAACCUCAUGCUGACUGCUUUCCUAGCAUCAGUAAUUCCACCCCAGGAGGAAAGAAAUCUCUUCGGUGGACAAUGUGAUUCUGAAAGUUUGUCUAGUAUACCUAAAAGCUAAUAUUUAUUGCUUAUUCAGCACAUACCAAAACAGUUAUGUAUAUUGGCAGUCCCCCUUACAGCCGAAAAAAGUCAUCUAUACAUUUUGCUGGUGCUGCUUUGAAACAGUGUCGCAAUUGCCUAACCAUGGAGGAUGGAUCCCCAAUUAUUUGAGGCAAGCUGUUGCAGCCAUGGUGCUGAAGACUCUGCAGAUAAUUGUAAAGUGAACAGCACACCUUAAUCUUCUAAGGAAUUAAAUAAUUACUGCUGGUUAACUUCAAUAAGAAAAACUAUUCUGGAGUUCAGCUUUCUCAUCGUUUGCAUUCGAUCUUGCGGCUGCAGACAUGGCGCGGGUGACACUCCUUGUCCAUUUGGGAAGCUGUGAGACCAGAAUGAGCCGCGUUUGGCUCUGUGGUGUGCAGACAGCCCCAGGUCUUACAGCGCGCCACAGGAAAACAAGUCGACAGAUGCAAGACCAAAGUUGUGCAUCUGAGUUCUCCCAGCUGGCUGCUGUUUGUUAGUCACCGCUUCCACAGAGCCCCCCUUGUGCGCUUCCAGACUGCAUCAUUUGUUCUGGACAGACCUAAUGACCAUAGCUCUGCUGUAAUUUGGCAGGACUUGUGAGCUUAAUUCAAACCAUUCUGUGCUGUUAUAGCUUGUGGUAUGUGUAACUGGGGGAAGAUCUCCAAUAGUGAAUGGCUUCUAAAUUAUACAGUUAGUAUUGCGCUCUUAUGUUUUGUGUUCAGGAACGCCAAACUAUUGACCAUUCCAAGCCUUGAAAAAUAUGAAUCUGUUAUUUUGCCCAGCACGCACUAUUAAUUCGCUCACUAGAUGGCUGAUAAAUAAAACCCAGACAGAAUUCCAUCUCCCAAACUUGACAGCUAGGGGUCGGCCCUAAGCAAAUCUUGCUUAAAUCUGAAGGGAAAAUGUUGGAUUUGUCCCCAGGCUUAAACUCCCCAAUGCCUCUUGUUGCCAUGUUGAGUAAAACUAAAUUUGUCCAUGCCCUGAAAUCAGACAGACUUUCAGACCCACAUUUGGCAAAGAGCACUCCUGGUAAUCAUCAUGACCGUGGGUCAUAUUCCUGACUUCUUCAUCUUUGUGUUUACCAGCCUUGGAUAAAUAGCCAGGCACUUGUGCACGGCUCUUCCACUGGCUCACUGGUUGCACUUAGAAGCCUGUCACUGUGUUGUAUUAUUUUUGUUUACUUUGGCCAAAGAAUCUACUAAGUAGCUUAUUUAAAGGAUUGAUCGCCUGACUCUGGUGCACCCCAGUGGCUACAUUAAAAAUACUUUCCAGGCUUCUCGGUUUCCAGUUAGGCUUCGCCCUCUGCUGACAGAAACUGUAGUGCAGCUACUCCUACGCCUCGCAUUACUGACCCUCUGCUUUGGGUUCCUUUAGUUCCCAACUCAUGGCAAAACAGCCACAGAAAGGAGAGACGAUCAGAGUUACUCUGAAGAGAGCUAAUUGUUGGAAACAUCAGUCUCUCCACAGCCUCUACAGGAAGCGGGGGGAGGAUAAAGAAAAAGGACACAUAAAUGCUCAUCAGAAAUGUUUGUUCAGAGUUGGAAUGUGAGUCUGGGUCCCCCCGAAGAAUCACUAACAGCAAUGAGCAAUGCUGACUAUAGGUACUACAUGGUGUUCAUUGUGCUUGGCUUACAAGAAACACUGGGGGAUAAAUAGUGGCUAUGAAUAAUUCAUGACAGUUGCCAUACUGGCUUUUGCAAAUUCACCAAUGACAGUUUCCCUAUGACAGAUUAUUUGAAAGUUUGAUUAUGCCAUGGGCAUGGAGGGGGUAGGGAAGAUGGAUUACGUUUUUUCAGGGUUUUUUUCCCCCGAUCCCAAGUUUAACCUUAGCAUGAAAUCAGAAUUGUAUUUAAUUUACAGUCCAACCAGGAACAAUAUGAAUGUUUUUCCAUUCAUCAGGGACCACAGAAGCAUUUCCCAAGGAUAUUUUCCGUUUGCCCUGAUAUGACUGGCCCAGGCUCAGAGAACUGGAGGCAGAGGAGCCAUCUGUCAUCAGUGAGGUCACUACCUCUGCAAAGAGCGCUUGAGGAAACUAUGGGAAUUUCUAUAGGCAAUUACAACAAAAAUCAGCUUUGUAUCUUCUCUAACAACACAGUUAAAAUAAUUACAAUAUCAUAGUAUAUCUUUUAGUUAAGUAGGACUAUGUAUGUUCCCCCCGACAUGUGAGACAGACAAUUUCUCAACAGCAUGGCUGCACACUCCCAAAAGCAGCGAUAGCCAGUAAUACAGAUGAAUUCUGUGUACUGCUUUGUUUUCCCCACCAAGGCUCGCAGAAUUAAAAAUCAAACUAAAGCUACUAAUGCAGAGGUGUCCUUUCUGGGAAAGGAGCAUGAAAGAAAAAUACAGGACCAGGAAAAAUUUAUUGUCUUGUAGCAGUAUCAUUAGCUAAAUGACAAACAAAACGAUACUCAACAUUUUCAAGAGGUUGUUGAUGAAAGGAAAUGAUAUUCCCUUAUCUGACUGAGGUGAUCCUUACUACAGCUUGAAUUGCAUAUUCAUAUUCUCACUUCACCCUCCUCUUCCCUAGUCCAACAUGUGCUUUUAUAGGAGUAAUUUCCCAUAGUGAGGUGGACAAUAACAUCCAUUAAGGCAUUCCUAUAAAUCUUCUGAUUCCAGAAAACAGCUUUGCCUCAAUAAAAUUUUUAUGACUUUUUUGUUUUAUAACAGGAUGAUGCAACUUAAUUUCAACUGAUUUCACUUUGGAUCCGCAGCUAAAAGAGUAAAUCAAUGUAAAUUCUGAAUGGAUGCCAACCUGCAAAUGUUAAGGAUUUUCCCAGAAUAUUCUGGCGUCAAAUUUUUAAUAAUUUAAAAGACAUUAUGAGGAUUUUUUCCAAUACCAUGGGUAUAUAGGCAAGCUCCAGUUUAGUAUCAAGGCUGAAUACAUGUGUUUGGAUCUGUUUUUUUCUAUCAGUUUCUCAACAAAGAGUAUGAAUUCAAAGCAUUGGUCACAGGCAUUUACACCCAUCCCCUUUCCCUUCCCAUCAGCGAGCUGAUUUGAAUGACUGCCUGCACUGCCCAUUUCUAUCAAUGGCUCUUUUGACCUGUGGUAUGGCUAGAAGCUUUAAUUAACAGAAACUUAAGAGAAGUGGAAGAAAGUUAGAACAUUAAAGGCCUAUAUUUUUACACACACACUGAAGUCCCCAGAAAGACCCGAAGCCAUUGCAAAACUACUAGGAAACAGGCCUUUUUAAAUAUUAUGAACAGAUCUUUCGUUAUAGCCCAGAAUUACUGCUUUUGAGAGAGAAGGGAAAGAGAUACCAUCAAAUCCCUUAAUACAUUUCAUUUUUUAUCAGAUAAGCGGCCUAUACAAAGCUAAACAGACACUUUCCCUCCCCCCAUGCAGCUGACAAGAACGUGGGCUCAAGAAAAGCCUCCAGUCACUGCCUGCUAUAGGAAGAAAACUAACUCCAAGUUCUAAACUGAGAAAAGAGUCUAUAAAAGCUUGUGUCAUAAAUACAUAGUCUAAAGCUUUGCCACUUUUGCUGGCCGCAAGAGGGAUUUCAGCUGCAAAUUCCUUUCAAAAAGGGCAACACAAACUUUGGCCCCUUUGGGGCAUCUCCUUCUCUAGUUCCCGCAAGUACUGUGGUAGACAUCCUCUCUUCUAGGAGGGCAGAAGAGUCACCUUGGCUACUGGCAGCAGGAGGUAGCAGUAGGGCUAGAUAGGCAUAAGCACUUGUCCUUGCAUUAGCUGGGGCAGGUGCUAGUGAGUGACGCACGGCUGGAGCUCUGGCCCCAGCAGCGUGCUGGGGUUUGAGGUGUUUUCUCCAUCCUCAGAAGCUCUGGCCAGCACAAACACCAGGUCUUUUGCUGUACCCCAGGCUGGAGCCAGUGGUGGCUCUGCAUUUUUAGCCCUACCUUCCUCUAGCUGAUGUACCACCAAGUAAAGUGCCAUACUUGCUUAAAGUCACCAGAGACCUUGAUCUCACUCUUGAAAUGCCCUUUAAGUAGCCUAUUUUAAGGGUGGCAUGAAGGAAAAGCAAAGCCCAACCUCUAGUGCAGCCCCAUCCUUUUAGAACAAAAUAAAUGUGUUUCCCUUAUAGGCAGAUUCUCAUAAAUAUGAACAAAAACAAACUAAAAGAGUCAGAUGAGGAUUGUUUGCUUCCAAAAUUAAAGCAACAAUAAAUUUCCAGCGCACCCUCUCCCAACAUAUUUACACUGUGAAGAGAUUGAUGUGUAAAGCAAAACCGUGCAGUUGAGAAAUAAUUUUUC